rnacentral:tRNA from 1 species
GCACCCGUAGCUCAGCAGGAUAGAGCAAUUGAUUUCUAAUCAAUCGGCCAGAGGUUCGAGUCCUCUCGGGUGCG